GGCCGCCUCCGCCGCCGAUUCCGCAGUUGGCCACAGGGUGGCGCCCGCGACGUGCGGGCCGGGCCUUGGCUCUGGCUGGGACGGCGCGUCCAGUCUGCGUGCGGCCUCGCGGACCCCCAGCCGGCAGCGGGGCCCCUGGGGCGCCUUCCGCGAGCCUGGGGGCCAGGCGGAGCUAGACGAGGCUCAGGGUCACUUACAGAGAGAUAGAGGACAAGCCGCAGACGCCGUUUUACAGCGGAGGACGCUGAGGCACAGGUUACCUAGCCCACUGGCUUGUCUGGCCCAGAUGUGUCUGCUGAGAUGCUAGCUCAGAGCUGAAGGGUGGACGGUGACUCGACGGAGCUGCACAGCCCUUGGGGACUCCCAAGAUUUCAAGCUACCAGUGAGCUACGACAGAGCAAAGAGUUGGGGGUAGAAGCACAGAAGUCUUUCACGCCGCUGUGUGGCACGCUCCGGCACUUUGCCAGCAGUUUCUUCCUAGUGUGACCUAGGCAAGUGAUUUCACCAUUGUAACUUCACUUUCUUCACCUGUAAAACGGGCCAACACCACCUCUCCCAGGCUGUUGGCAUGAGGAUUAAGUGACAGUCUUUUCCCCCCGCUUAUUAUACCCAGCUUAUUCAAUUCUUAGAAUGGCCUUACACAUUCUGAUUAUUUAGUUUUAUGUCAGUUUUUCCAAUGAACUGUGAAGUCCUUGAAGUCAGGGACCAUGUCGCAUUUCUCUUUGUAUCCCCAAUGUCUAGUACAGAGCUUGGCACAUAAUAGGCACUCAAUAAAUGUGACCCUUUGAAACCCAAAGCUAUGGUCCUGUGUGCGCUGAACUUGUGGUACCUCUCACGCGGGCUGUCUCUGUGAGCCUGGCGGGGGAGGGUGGACCUGCAGACCCUUGCAUGGAUUCUUCCCAAGGAGCCUAGGUGGCUGGGUGAGAUUUCAGCGUUUCAAAGUCCCUCCUGGGAGCCACGUGCCGUCUGAGGGCCGGCUCUCGGAGGAUCACGCUGAGCACGUGCCCUGGGCACCUGGAGCCCCCUGCACUGGCCUGUAGAUUGUAGAGAGGGAUGGUGAGGGGGUGGGGGCUGUGUCACAGACAUGAGCAGCUUUCUGGCUUCUUCUAGCUUCCCAAAGUUUCUGGAACACUGUGCAGGGAACUCCAAGGUAAUGACAUCAUCACCCAAACCUAAAACUUAUGCCUAUACAUGGGAAAAGGAGCCACCAUGGCCCGCUCCCCAUGAAGCAUCGAAUCCAUCAUCAGUCCUGCCAGCCUUAGCUCAGAUACAGUUUGAAAACCUCCCUGUGAGCUCCUACUGCUGAGAUGGGCCCUCCCCACAUCUUCUGUGUUCUCUGACACCUCAGCUGCUGCCAGAGGUCCCCACUUGGUACCACUCCCUGCCCCCAUGAGUUGCAUGCCCUUGUACCCCUGCUUCCCUUCCUGUUAUCUAGCCAUUCCUCUGUCUCUAGGGCUGUCUCUGAAUAAAGGGCUGCAUGGCCUGGGGAGCAGAGAAAAGAGCUGCAGGGAGGCUGUCUGCCCUCUGCAGGAGGCUGCAGCAGCCAUGCUCUUUCUCACUUUCCACACUGUUUGCUUCUCACCACCCGUGCUAGCUCCUCCCCACAAUAUUUUCUCGGUGGAGGAUGCAAAUGCUGUUCUCCAGGAUGGGCCUGGGGCAUCUUGCAUCUCCAAGCCCUAUAGGUUUCUUCACCCAAGCAGUCCAUUCCCCUUCUCCCUCCUCUGCCAGGAUACUGACCAGGUGUCUUAGACCCCUCUUGCCCUUUGGACACUGUGUUCCAUUAAUCUACGAGUCCUGCUGAGCCCACCCUCACUGUUGAUUAACUGUGUGCUCUCCUCCCUGUACCCAUUACCACUGUUUUCUCUGGUCAGUUCUUACCCAGAUUACUGCUGUGAGUUUUUGUUUUUGGUUUUGAGAUGGAGUCUCACUGUGUUGCACAGGCUGGAGUGCGGUAGCGCAAUCCCAGUUCACUGCGACCUCCACCUCCUGGUCCAUAUUGCUGUGAGUUCUUAAUGGGGGCCUCGUGUCCUUAGUUCUUCACUAUCUUCUACAUUUAAGUAUGUUCUCCAAUGUAAAUCAUUUGUUUAUUCUUUUCUUUCAUCAACAAAGGUGCCAGGUACCGUCCCAGGCAUGGGGAGAUGGCUGUGAGGAAGAUAGACAAGAUCUCAAGUGUCCUUGGGGCACCUCUGUCCCACCGCCUUCUGGGGUUUCCAGAACCAUGGGGCUAAGGCACACAUCCCUCAGUUGGCGUUUGGAGCAUGUCAGUUUCAGCCCUAGACUCUUUGCAGCCCCCGUUUUCCAUCACCUGCCUAUGAGCUCAGCUCUGGCCUUGCUGACUACUCUGCCUUCUCUAAACACACAAUGUAAUGUCUGAGGUGUGGAGUGCCCUUCUUUGCCUUCUCCAUCCACUCCCCGGCUUCCAGCUCCAACACAUCCUGCACAGUGCCUUGCACAUGGCUGGUGCUCCCUAACAAGCAUUGACUCAAAUGGGACUGAUGGACUGGGAAAGGCAGAGGAGGCCCUCUGCAAAACUGAGCUCAAAUCCUUGGUUCUAACCACCUGCAGUCCUGGGGUUGCCUCUUCAUUGCCUUUGUCCAAGCUUUAAUCAAAGUAGGAUUCUGUUUGCCUGCCUAGAAAUUAUCUUGGUGAAAUUGUCUUGGCGAGUUACUGUUGUUAGAAGCCGACUUUGCUAUAUCCGUAACACUUCUUGAAGAACUUAAAGUCCUUGUGAUAUGGUUUGGCUCUGUGUCCCCACCCGAAUCUCAUCUUGUAGCUCCCAUAAUCCCUGUGUGUUGUGGGAGGGGCCAGGUGGGAGAUCAUUCUGGAGCUUUAAGAUUUGACUGCUCUGCUGGAUUUUGGACUUGCGUGGGGCCUGUAGCUCCUUUUUUUUUGGCCAGUUUCUCCCAUUUGGAAUGGCUGUAUUAACCCAGUGACUGUACCUCCACUGUAUCUAGGGAGUGACUGACUUGCUUUUGAUUUUACAGGCUCAUAGGUAGAAGUGACUUGCCUUGUCUCAGAUGAGUGUGGACUUUUGAGUUAAUGCAGAAAUGAGCUGAGACUUUGGGGGACCAUUGGGAAGGCAUGAUUGGUUUUGAAAUGUGAAGAUAUGAGAUUUGGGAGGGGCCAGGGGCAGAACGGCAUGGCUAGGCUCUGUGUCCCCACCCAAAUCUAUCCUGUAGCCCUCCUAAUUUCCAUGUGUUGUGGGAAGGACCCAGUGGGAGAUAACUAAAUCAUGGGGGUGGGUUUCUCCUGUGCUGUCCUCAUGAUAGUGAAUGGGUCUCACAGGAUCUGAUGGUUUUAAAAAGGGGAGUUUCUCUGCAUAAGCCCUCUUUUUGUCUGCUGCUAUCCACAUAAGAUGUGACCUGCUCCUCCUUGCCUUCCACUGUGAUUGCGAGGCUUACCUAGCCAUGUAGAACUAUAAGUCCAAUAAACCUCUUCCUUUUGUAAAUUUCCCAGGCUCAGGUAUGUCUUUAUCAGCAGCAUGAAAACGGACUAA